CGAGCGACGAUACAACGGCUAUUAUUUUUAGAACUUGAAGUACAGCCUAUGCCUUACGAUAUUAUCAAUAUAUCCAAAUUAUAUCGUCCUACAAGUUUUUGAAACAAUGGCUGCGCAUGCGAUCGACAGAUUAUCACUUACAAAUGGUCCACUUGAUUCAUCAAGUAUACGACAAAUAAAACCAACUUUAUCGAAAGAUCUCUUAAACUGUUCGAAAUUUUCACAAUCAAUGUACGUAGAGUAAAAGUUUUUUCUCUCUGCGUAAUGCAGGAUCCAACUUUCGAUUUUUCGAAAUGAUGUAUUUUAAAAGUCUUUUGCCAAAGAUAAAUUCACGAUUGAAGAACUCUCUCUUUCUCUCUCUCUCUCUCUCUCACUCCCUCUGUCUGUUCGUCUGUCUCAAUUGAUCAUGCAAUUUACACCACCCUCGAGCGUUCUGUAUGCCAACGGCACAAUCAAACGUGCUCUAUUAAAAUUCCUCGAAUAACGAGAUGGAAUCCGAGCGAUCUCUAAUGUUCUCUCGAUCCUUUCGAUCUAAACGCUUGCUAAGCGCGAUACGUCGAAACAAAAGUAAAAGAGAGAGAGAGAGAGAGGGAGAGAGAGGGCGAAUCGGUUGGAAAAGCGAUGGUCGUGUCGUUCGUGAAUAUCUUCGACUGAAAUUAAAAUUGUUUUACGAACGAUGCGUUUGAAUGAGCGCUCGCUUUCACCUCGGAAUAUUCAGAGAUCGGCGAAAAACAUGAUCGUGAAACCGAAUUGUAAUAGCGAGAGAAAAAUUCGCGUUGAUGGUUGAAAUUUUCUCUCUUUUUCUCUGAUUUUUAGCAAGCAACGACGAGGUAAUAUUUUUAUCUGACAAUGUGAGCUUCGAUGAAAUUAAAUGCGACGGAUUUCUAAAUAAAAUCAGCGAGGACCUCGGCAAAUAACAAACGAGUUGCGUGCGAUGAUCGAUCGACUUUCGAAACUAGUACCUACCGAUUAUGGGUUCUUCCUUAUUAUCAAAUAAUAGCAUUAUUUUUUCUGGAAGGUAAUGUCAUUCGAAACGUCAUUUAUCUUACCUAAACCUCUUAAAGUUCAGACCGGGGGUGGUAGAUAAUCGUGCGUGAAGCAAGAAAGGAAAAAAAGAAAGGAAAAGGAGACAAAAAAAAAAAGAUAAUAGAAAGAAGAAGCAACCGUCUUUGGCUGUAGCAGGGAAAAAUAGAGAGAAAGAAGAGAACGAAAAGGGAGGAAAUGGCGAUCGAAGGAAAGGUCGGAAAGAAGACGAAGAAAAGGUUGAAAGAAGAUGAUGAAGACCAAAGAGAGGUAGAAAAGGAGAGAGGGUGAGAAAGAGAGCGAAGGGCACGUAGAGGAUUGCGGCGAAGCGGAGUACAGAAGGGAAAUACGAAAGGGGAAUCGAUGUGAGUGUGAAGCCGUGGUGGGGAGACUGGGCACCAAUCAAUAGCCGCGCGGCGGCGCCACACCUGUCAACGCGGGCUGAAAUAAACACAGGUGUACGCGACCGUAGCGCAUUUUCCGAGUGAUUCAUCGAGCGAGUUAUGAAAGGAAUAUUAGAAUCUUGGCGCAAAAGGAAACAGAAAGCUCGUAACUUUCGGGCACGAGGAGAGGCGUUGAUGGGUGGAACGUGGGAAACGUUAAAAAGCGCUAGGGACGUUAGGAAUUAGCAGCAGCCGCACUUGCAACGGUCACCAGUAGCACCGCCGUUGGUGUCGAUCGUCGUCGUCAUACUUGUCGUCGUGGUACUAGUACUACCGGCAUUAGUACUAACCUCGAAGUAGUUACCACUACUGGUACCGUCGUUUACCAGUGAUAUGGUACGAACAGCAACCAGCAACGGCGUUGCUGAUGGAGGCGGAAAUGGAACGAUCGCGGCCGAGACACUCGUACCACGAACGUUGAGUGCACAAUUGGGGGAGAGAGAGAGAGAGAGAGAGAGAGAGAGAGAGGGAGAAAAGGGGAGAAGGAUGAGUGUAGGGAAAGCCCGGCCCUCGAAAGGGUAAUCCACUGUCGAAAAUACAAUUCCGUGUGCCUGCUGCGUUAUUCCACGUCCACGGAAAUCGUGUUUCCAGGACUGGAACUAACGGACAUCGCGCAUCGAAAGGGAGAGAGAAAGAGAGAAUAACGAGCGAUUCUCUUACGCUAGAAACAACAGAUUUCACAAACGCAAGAAGAAAAAUCUUGGAUUAUCUACCUAGGCUGCUUGCCUGGCUGUCUGCCUUACUGCUGGCUACUGCGGUGGAUGAAGCGAGCUCGUCAAACCGUGUGUGAGAGAGAGAGAGAG